UAAAAUAGAAUUGAAAGAAACUGCGAGAGUUGAACAAAACAAAAUUUCAUUUACUUUCAAAAAAGAGCGACGCCAAUUUUUUUCUCUUUUCUUUUCUCUUUUUUUUAUCUAAAAGAAAUAAUAAUAUGAUUUUUCUUUCUUAUUUUCUUUUCUUUUUCUAUAUUUUUUUCUUCAAUUUUUUCUUAAUAUUUUUCCUGCCAACUUUUAAAAUAUCACAACCUAACUAUACUAAUUCAAUCUCAC
rnacentral:lncRNA from 1 species